UCCUGAAAAGGUUGAAAAAUGCAUAAUUGCAAUUAGCAAUUAAUUUGGCAUGAUGCUUUGCAAGGAUGAGGAGGACGAAUUCAGAGAGUUCACCAGGAUGGACUGGAGAGUAUUUUACAAUAUGGCACAGAUUUUGGAGGAGGAGAAUCUUUUGUUGCUUUGCCACGAAUGACAAAAACCAUCAAGGAAGACAGAGCUAAAGAAAACUUCGGGGAUGACUUAAAAAAAUGGCUUUAAGGAACACACAAACCUGGGAGAUACUCAAUCAUCUCGCUGCCAGCCCUCAGCAGAGACACUGCAAAUCUCUGUCAACACGCUGUCUGCCCGCCAGACUCUUGGAAUAUGACAAAGCAACUCCAGGAUUCUGCUAUUUGCCGCCUCAGACUUGUGAAUCUCCCCAGCUCUGAGUGCCAGUGCCAAGCAGCAUCACUGGCUCGUCUGGAGUUCAGCAGGACAGACAAACUUCAUGGAUUGGAUUUAAAGUCUUUCUGCACCUCAGCACAUUUUUCAAAUGGUUUUGACAUCAUGAAAAUAUUUGGAAAGAACACCCACACACACCCAAAAAAAAAAAGGAAUCUGGAUGGUUUCUCACCUAAAUAACUGUUGGAAGUUUGGUUUAAUAAAAUUUGCUUCAAUGUUUUGCCGUAUGCAUAUUACAUGGGUUAU